CGUGAGCAACCUACCUUCGAGUUCGGGAUAGCCCUGAGAAAUCAGGAUUAAUACCGGAUGUGGUCAUCCUGCGACAUCGCGGGAUGAAAAAAGGAGCAAUCCGCUCGAUGACGGGCUCGCGGCCUAUUAGCUUGUUGGUGGGGUAACGGCCUACCAAGGCGAAGAUGGGUAGCUGGUCUGAGAGGACGAACAGCCACACUGGGACUGAGACACGGCCCAG
rnacentral:rRNA from 1 species